rnacentral:misc_RNA from 1 species
UCUUCUGCAGCAAUGCGAUUUGAUUCGAGUCUUUGUUGACCGAGUUUAAACAAAGCUAGAGGAUGGUCAGUUUGGACUAGUCCGAGUGCUAAGCAUUCUUGGGUCUAGGACGGAUUGGACAUUAAAUCUAUUUUUUAU